rnacentral:lncRNA from 1 species
GCACAGGUUCCUCUCCUUGCCUGGAGCUGGCAUGCAGUUCAAGAGUCAUGGAAUAGUCUGUUUCACAAAGCCCUGUGUUCCAGCUUUCUCCUUCAGAUCUGUGGCCUCCACUCAGCGAAGUUCCAGACAGAAGGACCAGGCUGUGGGGCAGAGGCACUUACCGUAGUCACACUGACAACAGAGCUCCCUCUGCCCAGCGGGCGUCACCAUUGCCUUUCAGAGCCCUGUGGGCUCCCGACAAGAGGGCAGAUCAGUUGUGGUGCAAAUGGAUAUUUAACUCUGAAAAAUGUCAAAGAAAAGGCAACGAAAAGCCUCCACAGACUUGGAUCUGCCCUGCAAGGAUGUGUGUAUUCGCUUUUGCUAAUCACACGGAAGUCAGUCAAACAGCUGGCCACCAGCAUCUCCCAGCCCUGCACAAACAGCAGUGAGUGUGGGUGAGGGGGAAGCUGUUACAGCCCUCAGAUAAAGCAAUUUCCAUCUAGUAUUUAAUUUGCAAAACUGGCGACUCAGAGAAAGUUCUUGAGUGUCUCUUGAUGCCUUUUGCUAGAACUGAAAAUGAGCUCAGAGAUUCUAGGUCCAGAAAGGAAACAGGUGAGGACUCCUCUUUACCGGGUCCUUAGCCAAAGUCCCCACCCCAGGAGACCUUUGUUCUGGUCAGCCCGGUUGUGCACACAGAGCUCCCCAAAGUUCAGCAUUCCAGUCUCCAUGGCGAACCCGUUACAAUGAGUGUGAAACUGGAAUCUGUUUUCCUGCCCAGAGCAAGCCCAACGUGCUAGCUUUAUAAUAUAGAGAGUCUGUCUCAUAUCCACUGCAGAAAUCCUUAAGAUACUGACCAUUUAUACAGUCUUCCUUUGGUGCCUUCAGGUUGGCAUCUACAAAGUCAACCAACCACGAAUCCAAUAUAGUCUGAGGAUAGAGUAUUCAUUAUUGCUGACUUGCAACUACGUCAUUAGCCUACCAUGGUUGUGCCACACUGAACACUUCUUUUUUCUUGCCCUCACUCCAUAAAGAAAUUGGUGUAACCUCCACUUACACAAUGUGCACAUUGCAUCGGGCAUUGCAAUCACCAGGACAUGAUUUAAAGCAGCAGGGAGGAAGUGUGUAGGCUCUAUGCAAAUACUGUACCGUUUUCUAGGAGGGGCUUGAACAUCCUGGGAUUCUGGUCCCUGCAGGGGUCCUGGAAUCAGUCCCCUGUGGCUAGGAAGGGAGCACAGCACUAGGCAAGGCAUAGCACAGUGCCAGCUGUGGGAAGCGGC